rnacentral:rRNA from 1 species
AUGAGAGCUGAGGUGUUCAGGAAUCUGCUGCACUUUGCGUACACCGACGAGCUUCCGCCGGAGACAAUAGAGGAUGGUGCUGCGAUGGCUCGGGAUCUCUUGAAGGCCGCUGACAGGUACGACAUGGAGAGGCUCAAGCUGGUCUGCGAGGACAGAUUGUGGAGUCACAUCGAUGCAAGCACGGCGGCGACCACGCUGCUGCUGGCUGAGCAACAUCGCUGUCACCGUCUCAGGGAGGCAUGCUUCGAGUUUCUCCUCACGUCCUCGACCACACUAAAUGCAGUCAUGGCAACCGACGGCUUUGGCCAUCUGUGUAAAAGCAACCCCGGUCUAUUGAAGGAUAUAUUGUCCAAGCUCGCAACCCACCGAGAUCGCCGGCGAAGAAUUCGACAAUGGGAGGAAGACGACAACCACGGGUUCAUCCUCAGGACAACCGAAGGGGAUAAACUACCUGAACCGACUCCCACAUGCAUCUUGGUGGCUCUAGGAGCAUUGAAACGCACACGUCUUCAAGCGAGACACCUGAUCGUCGAACCCCUUUUCAUCCCGACCUGA